AAAAAAGAAACGAAAAACGUAAAAGAAAGAUGAAGAAAGACUCUUUGCCUUAAUAUAAAGCAUCACCUAAUUGGGACAAUGUUUUGCGGUUCUGAUGGAAUUAACGAUUGAAGCAAUUUGAGCAUAAGAUUUCCAUACUGCAUAGGGCCUAGACCACAUGUUAAAGCAAAGAGAAAUUGCCAAACAAGGCAUUUUUGUUUAGGAUUCCUUUGGAAAUGGCAGUUAAGCUAACAUAAUUGUGUUUUAGGUCACAUUGCUUGAUCCAGUAAAAAGACCCUGUCACUUAUUACCAGUCAAAAGGCGUGUGCAUGUGCUUUAUCAUGAGAGUAGAUCAGAGUAGUUAUUGCCAAGUGUGUGGCCAUUUCACUUGCUGUACCAAAGAGGCUUACUGGUACACUGACACAACAAUACUCCAACUACUUGGGCCCUUCAAGCCUUUCAUUUUGGAUCCUGAAGUACCAGCAUUGAUUUUCAAUGGAAAUAAAGUAGCACCAAUAAUUUUCAACAUUAUGGAUAAAACUUGACAGAUUUAAAAGGGCAGGAUAGGAUUAAGGAAAGAACCAUGUUUACCUUACAAGCGUCAAGGGAGGAUAUUGGGCUUAAUAAACUUUUGGUUUCACCAAUACAACACAAAAGCAACCAAAGGAAAAAAGGAGGAGGAGAAGAAGAA
rnacentral:misc_RNA from 1 species